GAUGAACGCUGGCGGCGUGCUUAACACAUGCAAGUCGAACGGUGAACGAGGGAGCUUGCUCCCUCCGGAUCAGUGGCGAACGGGUGAGUAACACGUGAGCAAUCUGCCCCGGACUCUGGGAUAAGCGUUGGAAACGACGUCUAAUACCGGAUACGAGACGCGAAGGCAUCUUCAGCGUCUGGAAAGAACUUCGGUCCAGGAUGAGCUCGGCACCGGCCUAUCAGGUAGUUGGUGAGGUAACGGCUCACCAAGCCUACGACGGGUAGCCGGCCUGAGAGGGUGAGCGGCGACACGGGGCGUGAGACACGGCCCAGACGCCUCCGGGAGGCAGCAGUGGGGAAUAUUGCACAAUGGGCGCAAGCCUGAUGCAGCAACGCGGCGUGAGGGACGACGGCCUUCGGGUUGUAAACCUCUUUUAGCAGGGAAGAAGCGAAAGUGACGGUACCUGCAGAAAAAGCACCGGCUAACUACGUGCCAGCCGCCGCGGUAAAAC
rnacentral:rRNA from 1 species